rnacentral:rRNA from 1 species
UACGAAGGGAGCUAGCGUUGUUCGGAAUCACUGGGCGUAAAGCGCACGUAGGCGGAUGUGUCAGUCAGGGGUGAAAUCCCGGAGCUCAACUUCGGAACUGCCUCUGAUACAGCACGUCUUGAGUCCGAUAGAGGUGGGUGGAAUUCCUAGUGUAGAGGUGAAAUUCGUAGAUAUUAGGAAGAACACCAGUGGCGAAGGCGGCUCACUGGUCCGGUACUGACGCUGAGGUGCGAAAGCGUGGGGAGCAAACAGG